GCGGAGGGGGCGGGGGCGGGGGCGGAGUCGCCAUCUUGGACCCGGCUCGACCCCGUCUGGUGACCGGCGGCGCUGGGCCAGGCUCCGCGCAGGGGGUCGGGUUCUUUCCUGGAGUGGAGAGAAAGAAGAGAGACCCUGGAUGGGAUUUCAGUCAGCUCUCCCACCUCUUCUGAGAGAUGGCUGGCAUCCUUGAAGUUUUAAGACAAUCCCCAUAUACUGAGAUGUCAGCCCAUGUCAAGUUCUCUGUGCUUCACUGCACACUUGACGUUGGGGUUGUGUGGAUUCCCAGAAGCUCCCCAGUCCAGGUCUGGUGGUAGAAGGUUCAGCCCCACUUGGCUCUAUGUAGACAGAGGAGUGUGGAUUGGCCUGGUUGAUGCCCUUCCCAGACCUCUGAAGAGGAGAGGUCUGGAGAGCCUUCAAAAGAUCACUGGGGCAUAGAGGGUGAGAUGAGCCUAAUAGUCAUUUGGGGAUUCAGUCAAUCAAGAACCCAUUCUUCUGUUGGGGUGGAGAGUGUCAAGGGAUGAAUGAGCAGCAGAUGCUGAAGGGAAGAAGGAUUAACGAUACCCCCAAAAAUGUCCAUGUCCUAAUACUCAGAACCUGUGAAUACAUCAGAUCAUGUAGCAAAAGCAAAUUAAGGUUGCAGAUGGAAUUCAGGUUGCUAAUCAGUUGACCUCAAUGCCCUGAGAUAUUCUUAAGAUCCUGGGAUCUCCUGGUGGGCUCAAUGUUAUCACAAAGGUCCUUAAAAGUUGGAGAGGGAGGCAGAAGAAGAGAGUCAGGGAAAGAGAAGUGAUGAAGAAGCAGUCUCAGAGCCAUGCUAGGUUGCUGGCUCUGAAGGUGCAGGAAGGGGCCAUGAGUCAAUAUACGGGGGUGGCCUCUGCAAAGCUGGAAAAGGCAAGUCAAUUAAUUCUCUCCAAAACUUUUAGAAGGGAGCACAUCUUGGUUUUAGUCCAGUGAGACCUAUAUCAAAUGUCUGA